rnacentral:rRNA from 1 species
CAGUCGCCACGGGAAUACGUAGGGUGCAAGCGUUAAUCGGAAUUACUGGGCGUAAAGCGUGCGCAGGCGGUUAUAUAAGACAGAUGUGAAAUCCCCGGGCUCAACCUGGGAACUGCAUUUGUGACUGUAUAGCUAGAGUACGGCAGAGGGGGAUGGAAUUCCGCAUGUAGCAGUGAAAUGCGUAGAUAUGCGGAGGAACACCGAUGGCGAAGGCAAUCCCCUGGGCCUGUACUGACGCUCAUGCACGAAAGCGUGGGGAGCAAACAGGAUUAGAUACCCCCGUAGUCCCUGUCUCUUAUAC